GCGCCGGUGGUUUAGUGAUUAGAGAAUCCACCUCGGAUGCGGGAGGUCGUGGGUUCGAGACAUGAUACUAAAAGCUGCCUUGCUUGGCGCU